rnacentral:rRNA from 1 species
AGCCCAUUAAAGUAAGACUAAACUGAUAGACAAAUCUUAUGGAAAGAAGAACCAAAGAAAGUAACAGUCUUGUAGUCGAAAUCAGAAUAGAGACACUUUAAGAAGAGUACCACGGAGCACGUGAAAUUCUGUGGGAAGAUAGGGGGACCACCCCCUAAGGCUAAAUACUACCUGGUGACCGAUAGCGAAUAGUACCGUGAGGGAAAGGUGAAAAGAACCCCGGGAGGGGAGUGAAAUAGAACCUGAAACCUUGCGCCUACAAGCAGACAGAGGAAGAAGACUUCUAAUGUCGUACUUUUUGUAGAACGGGCCAGCGAGUUACGAUACGUAGCAAGAUUAAACAUUUAAGAUGUGAAGUCGCAGGGAAACCGAGUCUUAAUAGGGCAAAAGUUGCGUGUUGUAGACCCGAAACCGGGUGAUCUAUCCAUGGGCAGAGUGAAGGUAAAGUAAAAUUUACUGGAGGCUCGAACCGGGUAGCGUUUAAAAGCUAUCGGAUGACCUGUGGAUAGGGGUGAAAAGCCAAUCGAACUCGGAUAUAGCUGGUUCUCCUCGAAAUAGCUUUAGGGCUAGCCUUGUUUUAGAUUACAGGAGGUAGAGCACUGAAUAGUCUAGGGGAAGUAAUUCUACCGAAACUUAUCAAACUCCGAAUGCCUGAAAAUCGAUGAACAGGAGUCAGACCAUGAGGGAUAAGCUUCAUAGUCAAAAGGGAAACAGCCCAGACCACCAGUUAAGGUCCCAAAAUACAGAUUAAGUGGGAAAGGAUGUAAUACUACUCAGACAACCAGGAUGUUGGCUCAGAAGCAGCCAUACAUUUAAAGAGUGCGUAAUAGCUCACUGGUCAAGUGGUAAUGCGCCGAAGAUGAACGGGGCUAAAUCUGAUACCGAAACUGUGGGAUAGAAAAGCAAUUAUGCGAGAAGUAUGCUCGUCCUCUCAGGGUAAGUCGGGACCUAAGGCGAGGCCGAAAGGCGUAGUCGAUGGACAACAGGUAGAAAUUCCUGUACUACAAGAUUGUGAUUGAGAGAAGUACUGACGCAGAAGGAAAAGUCGAGCGUGCUGAUGGUCAUGCACGUCCAAAUAACAAGCCAGAAUAUACAGGCAAAUCCGUAUAUUCGUCAACGUAAGUUAUGAUGGGGAGCAGAAAGAUGCGAAGCGACAGAUUCAAACUGCCAAGAAAAGGUGCUAUCGAAUAAUCUUGUACCCGUACCGCAAACCGACACAGGUAGGCAAGAAGAGAAUUCUAAGACGCGCGGAAGAACCUUUGUUAAGGAACUCGGCAAAAUAAUCCCGUAAGUUAGCGAGAAGGGAUGCCUAAGAAAUUAGGUCGCAGAGAAUAGGCCCAAGCGACUGUUUACCAAAAACACAAGUAUCUGCUAAAUCGAAAGAUGAAGUAUAGGUGCUGACACCUGCCCGGUGCUGGAAGGUCAAGGGGACUUGUUAGAGCAAUCGAAGCAACGAACUUAAGCCCCAGUAAACGGCGGCCGUAACUAUAACGGUCCUAAGGUAGCGAAAUUCCUUGUCGGGUAAGUUCCGACCCGCACGAAAGGUGUAAC